rnacentral:lncRNA from 1 species
ACGAAUAUGGGCCGUCGGAUCCAUUGUGGAUGGUACAGAUUCAAGUUGGGGAUCCUAGGCCACUUAAUGUGUAUUUUAUGAAAACCCCCCUGCUACUAGUUAGAUGUAAAAGAGACUUUUGCAGUAACUACCUAAACUUUUUUCAUGUUGAAACGUUUUGUUCUUAGUAAAUACUAAAUACUGUAGUACCUAUGCCAUAUCUUCACAGCGCUCAUUCCUGCCCCCUCCCUUCAUAUGUAAACUAAUUAUGCAAGAAACUUGAACAUGACCACCACACACUAAUAUUUGAGUACGUGUAAGCUGGACCAUAUCAGGCACAAGAAAUAGCGUAUAUGUUAAAAUGAACCAAAUACUUGAGUGCAUGUCAAACUGGACUCUCAGCGCCGCAUUUUUUAGUACUUGUCAAACUGUAACAUCCCAGGCAUAACACAAGAAGACACUCAUAUCACAGGAUAAGUAUUGCAAGCGAAAACUGCAUCAACUUUGGUACAUGACAGGCAAGGGUAAGUCUGAUGGACUAUAAUAAUCAUCGCUCAACAACCAUUGCCAUUAAGAACUGCAUGAACGUUGGUUUCUUGACGGCACACAACAGUUGCCUCCAGAUGCAGUGCUUCUUGUUCAUCGAGCUUCUUGUCCUGGGAGAGUUCAGAAGUAGCAAAUAUGAUUCAGUUAGCGCAAGUCCAUGUAUGUGCCAUACAUUCAUACUUCAAAAAUUAAUCAUGAGCUGUUCAAAUAAAUAUGCAUCAACAAACACCAUCUGACUGUGUGCUGCACGUACCACAAGGAAGGAUAAAUAGAGAAUAUAUGAAAUUCAUCGCAAAAGGCAACCUAAAGUAUGUUUCUAUGUUGGAAAUGGCAGACAAGCCAACUAUUUUGCGGACAAUCCUAACUUAGCAAUAAUGAACAAAUUAUAUAAAUAUUAUUUAUCUUGUACAGGAAAAUAACUCUAGUGCAUUCUAGAGAUUCAUAACAACCGGCGGAAUUAGGCAAUACAAUUAUUUACAUAAUUGUCCUAAUAGAAAUCCAUCCUCUAUUAAACUUGCCAUUUUCAAAUAGCUUAUCGUAUGUACAAAUAAGAAAAGAGCAUAUCUUAUGAUAAAAUGAUGUGUUGAACCCUCAAAGCUGCUGGACAUUUUAAUCACUCAAAAACUGGUCAUGAGUUCGACAAGAACAAUAUUAGCAGAGCCACUCCCUAAUAUAGACCAGUGAACCAUGUACCAAGUAUAAUAAUAGACAUGUCUAUUCUUGACAUUGUGAAGCAUAAACAAGUCUGUACGCUGCAAAUAGUCAUCACCACUAUAGUACCUUUUUACUGAUAAGAGCUCAAUAGUGUUUGUUUGAGUACUGCACUAGGUCGUGUUAUAUGAAAAAUAUCUUGCGACGUUAUUUGCAAACACACUAGGCUUGAAAAAAAAAAUUGAUCGAGUAACCACACAGAAUGAAUGCUUGAACAGCCAUGUAUAUACCUAAGAUCAGCAAAUUACAGGUUUCAACGACUAUCUAAAAGCAUAAGUAGCAACGGCAAACAAGAAAGGGAUUUUUAUGACUAUCAUGCUGAUGCAAAUUAGUGAUGGCAUGCACUAUAUUAUAAAUUGUUAUAACAAGGAAACUACAACACCGUGGGAAAUAUAAGUGAACAAGAUGAGGAGAGAGGCCCGUGUCAUGGAAGAAGAAUUAAUCCUAGAUCACGAACAUGCAUACUUGCUUUAGUGAUAGCAGAGAAUCAAAUUGCAAGGUCUCUCGCCGGUGGCAGUGCGUGCACCUGCCGCCUCCAUGGCCGGCUGCCACGAGGUCGUCUAGAUGCAUUCACGGCCGAGCGAUGGAUCCUAGACCAAGCAAUGUGCCGAUGGACGAGAUUCCUGCAGCUUGUGGUCAACCAGUGUCUCUGCUCUACGACUACGAAAUAAAAUAGUUGUCUUUAUAAAAGUCUCUUUUGCUGUGUUGGUUGUAACUGGCUAUCUUCUGGAUGCGGGUGUGUGAGUGCAAGCUCAAGAACUGAGCUAUCAGUGUAAAUUUGAUCCUAUACCAACCAACAAAUAUAUACAAUAAUUUUGCAAAAACCUUGAUGUCAAAUACUAACCGGUGAACUUCACAACUGAUGUGAUCUUGAGCAGAAUAGAGUUUUGUUGUGGAUAAAACCACUUCACUCUUUCAGGUUUUCACUCACCUUGAACAUAAUAAGUAACUCCGAAAUGGGUGACUGGUUAUUUCAAAAACGAAC